AGGUCAUUUGAGUUGACCCGUAAAUCUACUCCAAGCAAUGAGAUAGGAAAAUAACUGCCAUAAGUCUGCACAAAGAGAUCAAUGAAGGACACUACACUUUCCAAAAUGCUGCUGCUCUGCCCUGUAGUGCUGUAUACCCUGUAAGGACACUAAAUGCUACGGAGAGGUGUCAUCUUAGAGACGAUGUAAUCACUGUAAUGACAGACUGAGGGCAAACGAAAUUAAACCAGUUGGGUGAAUUAGCUCAGCAAGUGACAGUUUGCAGGAGAGUCUUUAUCUACUGUUUCCACAGUCUGCAUGUGUGUAAUUGCAG